CAUGAACAUAGACACAUGCAGAGGCUGCAGGAAUUCAGGCCAAUUGUGAUACUCUGUGAUACUCACAAAUUUGGGUCACUCUCUCAAUUAGUUUAGCUCCUCAUCUGUGUGAGUACAGAAACAAAAGCUACUUGGAGGCCUUGUGGGUUGGCAGAGCAUCUUAAAAUACCCUCCUAAAGAGGCAGAGCUGCAAAUUCAAAACAGACUUUCAAAAUAAACUCAGCAGGGCAGCACUCCGGGGGUGCUUCCAGAGCCAGCCCCCACCUCCACCCCCAGUUCUCAGUUCUAGGUAUCUGAAACUGCAGUACCCUUAGCUGUUACAAUCCUCCUCUCCCCCAGGAGCCUGAUGCUCCCUGGAGGAAUCAAUCAUUCUGCAAUACAUCUGAGAUUUCUACCAGUCCAGAUGCAAGCUUUCACAAACCCAACACACCCGCCGUCUUCUUCUAGAGCUGUUCAGAGAAUUCCACUUCUAGUCCUCAUGAAUCUGGCAAUUGAGACCUUGGAGAAGCUUGGUAAAUGGCUCUGAGACUAAGGAGAAACUAUAUGCUCUGCAAUUCUGAAGCUGCUCUUGUCAGACGGUAGGUUUAUGUUGUAUCAGAGCACAUGACAGUGGCCUCUCUCUCUCUCUCUCUCUGUCUCUCUGUCUGUCUCUCUCUCUCUCUCUCUCUCUGUCUCUCUCUCUCUCUCUUUCUCCAAAGUGACCAUAUCCAACUGGGAAAGGCUAGAAACUCUAACCUAUUCCCCAAUAUGAAGAUGUAUGUGUUUCUGGUCAUGUGACUGCACUUAAAUUCCCUGGAGAGUCUCUGAUUCUACUGCAGUCUACAAUUCAUGCACUCAGCUGUUCAGCUGAAAGAAACAGGGCUGGGUGGGAAGACUGAUUUCUUAAUAUAUAAAUAAAAUGAAGUUUUUCUACUGUCCUAGACUGGGAAAUUUUACCAACAACUAAGUAUUUGCCUAUGUUUCUCCAGAAUGCUACUGAGACACUGAUUUAUCUUCUACAGGCAUGUUUUAGAUUGUGCUGAAAUGGCUAAGUUUUCCCUAAGUUGGCAAAAAAAGAAAUCCAUUCCAUGUGGCUGGAAUCAGGCCCACUGAGAUUUUCACCAAGGGCAAAAAUACCUUGCAUGUGUAUCAAAAGCAGUUGGAUGAAACUGGCUCUAUUUUUCUCCAGCAACACCAUCAGACUAACGGC
rnacentral:lncRNA from 1 species